rnacentral:rRNA from 1 species
UGGGGAAUAUUGGACAAUGGGGGAAACCCUGAUCCAGCCAUGCCGCGUGAGUGAUGAAGGCCUUAGGGUUGUAAAGCUCUUUUACCAGGGACGAUGAUGACGGUACCUGGAGAAUAAGCACCGGCUAACUUCGUGCCAGCAGCCGCGGUAAUACGAAGGGUGCUAGCGUUGUUCGGAAUUACUGGGCGUAAAGCGCGCGUAGGUGGCUACUCAAGUCAGAGGUGAAAUGCCGGGGCUUAACCCUGGAACUGCCUUUGAAACUAGGUGGCUAGAGUACUGGAGGGGUUGGCGGAAUUCCUAAUGUAGCGGUGAAAUGCGUAGAUAUUAGGAGGAACACCGGUGGCGAAGGCGGCCAACUGGACAGUAACUGACACUGAGGCGCGAAAGCGUGGGGAUCAAA